rnacentral:lncRNA from 1 species
AUGUAUUUUUUAAUGCAUUCACUAUUCUCUCACAGCCAGAUGUUCCCCUUCAUUGCACAGCAUGAGGAGGUGGAAAGGAGCCAAAAAACUGCGUUAAGAAAGAAAAAAACUCCCAAAAGCCAAUCCAACAAACAACCAAGGAUCAAGAGGAACAGCUGUGUUUCCACCUUUGGAUGGGCAGGAGUUGAACUGUGGCAUCUGGCAGAAGCCAGCUUUAACGUGGGAUUUAUCCUGAAUAAAAUACUUGCAGAAGGAAAAGAAACGUCAUUUGACUCAUUGAAGAUUUAAAACCAACAGAGUCAUGUGGGAGAAAAUGAAAUUUUAGUCUCAAGUGGCAGAAUCGAGUCAUAAGAAGUAAAGAGAUUUGGAUGGUUUCUCACUAAAUGGAAAUUAUAUAGACGGCUUCUAAGACCACUGCAUCUCUCCAUCCCGCUCCUGCUGCACAGAGACUGCACUCU